rnacentral:rRNA from 1 species
UACGGAGGAUGCGAGCGUUAUCCGGAUUUAUUGGGUUUAAAGGGAGCGUAGGUGGAUUGUUAAGUCAGUUGUGAAAGUUUGCGGCUCAACCAUAAAAUUGCCGUUGAAACUGGAAGACUUGAGUGUGUUUGAGGUAGGCGGAAUGCGUGGUGUAGCGGUGAAAUGCAUAGAUAUCACGCAGAACUCCGAUUGCGAAGGCAGCAUGCCGGCUCCACACUGACGCUGAGGCACGAAAGCGUGGGUAUCGAACAGG